UACGAGGGGGGCAAGCGUUGUUCGGAAUUAUUGGGCGUAAAGGGCGCGUAGGCGGUGCGGUAAGUCUGAUGUGAAAUCUCCGGGCUCAACUCGGAGUCUGCAUCAGAAACUGCCGUGCUAGAGUGCGGGAGAGGCGAGUGGAAUUGCAGGUGUAGCGGUGAAAUGCGUAGAUAUCUGCAGGAACACCCGUGGCGAAGGCGGCUCGCUGGACCGCAACUGACGCUGAGGAACGAAAGCUAGGGGAGCAAACAGG
rnacentral:rRNA from 1 species